rnacentral:rRNA from 1 species
AUUGAACGCUGGCGGAAUGCUUUACACAUGCAAGUCGAGCGGCAGCAUGGACUUCGGUCUGAUGGCGAGCGGCGAACGGGUGAGUAAUGCAUCGGAACGUACCCAGUCGUGGGGGAUAACUACUCGAAAGAGUAGCUAAUACCGCAUACGUCCUACGGGAGAAAGCAGGGGAUCGCAAGGCCUUGCGCGACUGGAGCGGCCGAUGUCUGAUUAGCUAGUUGGUGGGGUAAAGGCCCACCAAGGCGACGAUCAGUAGCGGGUCUGAGAGGAUGAUCCGCCACACUGGGACUGAGACACGGCCCAGACGCCUACGGGAGGCAGCAGUGGGGAAUUUUGGACAAUGGGGGCAACCCUGAUCCAGCCAUUCCGCGUGAGUGAAGAAGGCCUUCGGGUUGUAAAGCUCUUUCGGCAGGAACGAAACGGUUGCGGCUAAUACCUGCGACUACUGACGGUACCUGAAGAAGAAGCACCGGCUAACUACGUGCCAGCAGCCGCAGUAA